AGCAGCCGCGGUAAUUCCAGCUCCAAUAGCGUAUAUUAAAGUUGUUGCAGUUAAAAAGCUCGUAGUUGAAUUUCGGGAUUAGUACGUUGGUCGUGCCUUCGGUACGUACUGGUGUUACUGAUUCCUACCUUCUGACGAACCAUCAUGUCAUUAAUUUGGUGUGGCGGGGAAUCAGGACUGUUACUUUGAAAAAAUUAGAGUGUUUAAAGCAGGCUCGCGCUUGAAUACAUUAGCAUGGAAUAAUGAAAUAGGACGUUGACCCUAUUUUGUUGGUUUCUAGGAUUGACGUAAUGAUUAAUAGGGAUAGUUGGGGGCAUUAGUAUUCAAUUGUCAGAGGUGAAAUUCUUGGAUUUAUAGAAGACUAACUACUGCGAAAGCAUUUGCCAAGGAUGUUUCCAUUAAUCAAGAACGAAAGUUAGGGGAUCGAAGACGAUCAGAUACCGUCGUAGUCUUAACCAUAAGCUAUGCCGACUAGGGAUCGGAUGAUGUUAUUUUUAAUGACUCA
rnacentral:rRNA from 1 species